AGGAUAAUAAUUUAUAAAAAUAUUUAUUUAGCAUAUAAAAAAUGUAUUUAAUACUUAUCUUA
rnacentral:tRNA from 1 species